AGAGUAAUAUAUGUUUAAAGUUUUGUGAUGGAGAAACAAGUUUUCAUUAACUUGUUCAUCUUUAACUUUAAUUUCUAUGCAGCUUUACAGUAUUGUGCUAAUUAGUCAUUACUUUUUAUGGCACAUAGAAAUUUUUAAUAAUUAAAUAUUAAUUACUUUUUUCAAUUUCUUUUCCCGAGAGCAUUUUAUGUGAUAGACACAGCAUGGAUCUAUAAAUAUCUAGCACAGUCCCUGACUUCAAGAAACUUACAGACUGUGGGGGAAGCAGAUUUGUCAAAAGUUACAAUACAAAAAUGGCAGGGAGGCAUGGUUAUACAUCGGAGAUACUGACUAAGGUAGAAGAUGUCUGUUUUGGAAAUGAUGGAGUUUAUCAGAAGACAAGUGGGGCAGAGAGAAUUAAAGGGGAAAAUCACAGGAUAUGAAAAAUUCCAGUAUGAAAGCAUAGCCCUUCUAGAGGUCAACCCAUAGAAGUGAGGUUUUGACUAUAAGGUGUUCCUGGUUCUACAUGAGGCUGUGUAAGUGGGUGAGUAGGAGACAGAUUGUGUGAAUGAUGCUGAGUAUUUUAAUAAUGUGUGAAGUGUGAAGAUUUGGCUUAACUGUGAAAAUGCAGGGGAUGAUUUGAUGAGAAGCCUCACACCAGGAAAAAAGCUGUAGAAAGGCGAAACUAACAAUUCUUGUUUUGUCUUGCUCUUUUGGGCACACUAGGCCUAUGUUUGUUCUUUUAUAUUCUCAUAUUCCUCAGACUCAAUGAACACAUCAAGUUAAAUGAUUACCUCUUUUCUGUGUAAAAUGGUGCCUCAUCAUUGGAGGGUUAACAUAUUCCUAAAGUUUUAAGGUAUGUCACAAAGAGUAGCACACCCCAAAUUUAUCAGGAAGAGAGAAAGGAGACUUUUUCUAUCGAGGUAACUUUAUGCACCUCUCCUCUUUUUAGCCAUACAAUAAAUGACUCUGUGGUGUUGUGUGGUAUUGUAACCUUGGUGUUGUGGGGUAUGGUAACUGUUGAUGGUGGAAAAAAUAAAAAACACGAUAUGGUUCUGUACUCACAGCUUCAUCAUAUCAUAGUAUUUCAGUCUGACAUUUGUGGCAGGGUAAAGGUAAGGGCCAUGGUGGCACAUAAAUACCACUGUAGUGUUUCUGCCAGUUGCUACCAUUACCCAAGGUAGUCAUGGAUUAAAAAAAUCACACACACACACAUGCACACACACACACACACACACACACACACACAUACACUGGAUUACUGCAUUGCUCAUUACACUUACAAUGAGUAAUAAUGGAAUCCUGGAUGCAUUGAAAAGUCAGUGUAAAAAGUGCCCAGUUACUCUGGGCGAUUACAAAUGAUCUACAUACAAAGAAGCAGAAGGCAGAGAGAAGAGGUUUCAGUAGAGAUGAAAGUUGAAGAACAAGAUAAAGACUGGAGCGUGUGAACAAUAUACCAUGAAGUCCACUCUAGUGAAAAAAAGUACUUGGAAAAUGUAGAAGAAAUUGUCUUAGGUACUUAGUGUCUAGGAAUUUCACAACACCGAGUCUUUGGGAAAAUCGUCAAAAUGUGUCAAGAGGGAUGGUAAAGACCAGAUAACAAAGGGUCUUUGAGAAUUUGAACAUAAAAAGAAUCCAUUUGGUUUUUUUUUCCACCUCAGGGGAAGUGAACUUUAUGGUAGCUGUUGAAAACAACCAAGUUGAACGGGGAUUGACAUUUGAAGCAUUCAUGUUUCUAAUUUAAAUAAAAAACAUACAAAACAGAAAAUAAACAAUUUAACAAACAAUUAUAAUUUGUACUCAUAUGCCUCACUCUACUAGGAUCGCUGUUUAUCGAUAGAGGAAAGAAAAUACUAAGAGAAGGAGCCAGGAAGGCUCUACUGUAGCUGCACCACUGAAGAUGCUGAGGAGAGUGGUAUUAUGGCACAUGCUCCUCUCAGCUAACACCAUGCCCAUUUAGGCCACUUGAUUCCUUCCUUCAGCAGAUCGUGGAAAAUGAAGCUGUGGCAGCUGCAUACCACAAUUCCAGAUAACUCCAUGCAACAUGAUUCUCACAAUAAUCACACUUUAAGACUUGUCUUUUUUUUAGUUUAUGUACAUGUGUGUGCACAUGCAGUAUAUGUUAAUUGCCACAUGUGUGCAAUUACCACGAUUUUGGAACUACCUUUCCCUUUCUGAGAUAUCUGGAUCAUGGUUAGUCACCUGAAUUCAUAAGGGUUUUCAGGAAUUCCCAGAAUAUCACUGACCUCUAUUCCAGUCCUAGUUAUUGGGUAUUUUCUACUAUAAAAGAAAAUCCUUAAAAGCUU